AUUCAUAAUAAACUGGCGAAUCGCAUUUAGCGAUGGACCAUUCAAGUUUCUGACCCAUCAGCUUGACGGUAGGGUAUUGGCCUACCGAGGCAGCAACGGGUAACGGGGAAUUAGGGUUCGAUUCCGGAGAGGGAGCCUGAGAGACGGCUACCACAUCUAAGGAAGGCAGCAGGCGCGCACAAUUACCCAAUCCUGACACAGGGAGGUAGUGACAAGAAAUAACA
rnacentral:rRNA from 1 species